GGAGAGUUCGCCUAGCGGCCUAUGGCGCCAGUUUGGAGUACUGGUUGGGUGAAAGCCCUCGUGGGUUCAAAUCCCACACUCUCCG
rnacentral:tRNA from 1 species